ACCAAAGUCAGCUUCAGGCGGAGAAAAGGCAGAAAUUCCCAUCUCAGCAUAAGACCGAAAUGUGAUGUGAAGGAGGAGGAGAUGUCAAAAAGGAUAAACACAGACUCACUUAUGGCUUAUUUUUGUAUCAAGCACCUGAGAAGCAGCCGUAGCUCCGCCCUCCUCUGACGAGGAAGAGCAUUUACCUGAAGGAUGUGCAGAGCGGAGGAGUCAUCCAGACUCAUCUCGGUCAGAGCUGUGCAGCAGGCUGGAAAAGGGCGUAGAUGUUCAGUAAAUGACCGCAGACGUCCGAAAGGUCAUGCUGGCCGUGCCAUCGAACAGGUGGGUUCGCUCAUCAUGUUGGCGUUUACUGCAGGAGGCUGACAACCACUUCCCUUAAAACUGUUAAAAGUCCAACUGCUUUGCUUCAGGAAGGCUGUGUUUACUCUUUCAGGUGCUGAUAAGACUCCCCUGUGGGAGGAAUUAUCAUCAAUGUCCGGUAACAACAACAAAACAUUCGCUUCCAGUUUUCACCCUUUUGCCAACGAUUUAAGCGGAAGAAAGCGGAGAAGCAACCGCCGUUAACAAACGGGUCCAUCUAAAAGGACAAAACGCAGACGAAAAGCAGACCAAUGUUGUCUGUGCUGUUCUAAAUGACUGAGAAUCCUCACAGACAACCCAAGAAACACGGA